ensembl:lncRNA
AUUUGAAUAUAUUUUAAAAUGUUAUUCAUUCCUGUGAUGGCAAAGCUGAUAUUAAGCAACCAUUAUUUCAGUCUUUAGUGUCACAUGAUCCUUUAGAAAUAAUUCUGAAUGCUGAUUUCUCAUUAUUAUUAUCAGUGUUGAACACAAUUAUGCUGGUUCAUAUUUUUGUGGAAAUCAUGAUACAAUUAUUUCAGGAUUCUCUAAUGAAUAGGAAAUUCAAAAGAACAGCAUUUAUUUGAAAUAGAAAUCCUACACUGGAUGACAUUAAAAUGUUGUCACUUUUGAUCAAUUGAAUGAGUCAAAAUAAUUUCCUAAAAAAAUAUUACUGACCUCAAACUAUUGAAUAGUAGCUUAUAUUAGAGGAGCUUAGCCUUAUUUCAACCAAACAGCUUUUGCCAAGUAGAUUCUUAAUGUUUUAUGUAUUAAAAUUCUUGAAGAAUCGAGCUAAAAAAAAACAAUGAUUUUUUCCUACACAGCUUUUCACUACAUGUACACAAAAAAAAUUACAUAAAAAUGCAUAGUAUUAAUUAUAUUUAUCUACACUUAAGUUUACAAAAAUGCCAAGCAGAGACGUUUGUGAACAUACGUUUGUGUGUGUGAUGACUCACGUAUUUUAAUUUUUUAAUUGGUUCAAUCUAUAAAUGAUUCACAGACAUGAAUCAAACUUACCAGCUUUACCAUUUUUGCUUUAAUCAAUCUCAUCUCUUCUCAAGGGAAAGUUAAUGGCCAAAUUCUCUCAGCGAAGUUCAUGAGGUGCAUCCCGGGAUUCUUUUUAAAUAGUAUCGAAGGAGUUAGCACGCUUGCAUUCAGUCAGGGCUGUCCAUGUUUGACUGGUAGUGUGGUCUGUAAAGUAUAUGUAUUUUAUGAAAUUAAUAGCUGCCUCAAAGAUUUAACAGCCAAAAAGGGUAUUUUCUCCCUCAUUUGUUGGCUGUUAUAAGCAACUGAGAUGACCGAGUCCAUAAGUAGAAUUUCCUCUCAGACACACAGGGAUCUUUUCCCCUUCUACCCCUGCUCUCUUUCUGUCCUCUGUGCCGCCCGUACCGCAGGUGUCAGUACCCAGUAUUGUGAGGAUAUGAGCUGUGCUGCCGAUGGCCCUGCCUGCCCUCACUGCCCCCACUGCUUCACAUGCCAUCACUCCUCACCAAGCUCCGCCUGGAUCCAGUGUUUCAACGCACGGAUGCCUGAAUGCACUUUCUUGGGGGAACUUUUCAAGCGAACUCUUUGUUUUCCCAAGCGAGUUUAUCUUGUUGGUUUGCUUUACAUCACUUUGACUGCAGGAGUCACGUUGACUGAUGCAUUCUUGUGAAAUUUUUACUCCCGUUUUAACACUUCUGAUGAAGUACAAUGUUACCCUCCCCCUUCUGUUUCCAUUGUGCAAUCAUUGGUGAAAACAAACUCUCCGAGCAGAACAUGUCUCUCUUCCUUUCCUUAAUAUCCCAAAAGAUCUUGUGUGACCCUUAUUACCAAGUGAAUGCGGCUGUAAUGUGAAAGAGCGAGUAUAAAGUGUACCUAACAAACUCUAAAGUCAUCUUCUGGGGAGUGUUCAUAUUGUAUAUUUGGUUUCAAAUAAAAAUUUUAAAUGCAUAGAAAUGAACUAAAUCGAUGGCGGCGGCCCCAUCAAGAUUAUCUACAUAUAGACAAAGGUUUUAAAAGAAAUCUAUUAAGAAUUGUAAAUUGUGUACCUUGUGCUUUUAAAGGGGGUUCUGGCCUGUGUACAAGGAGCCUUGGGGCUCCGGGGCCUCAGAGUUGAACUUCAGGGAGUAGUGUGUGUUUACACGUCACCUCUGCACACUUUGUGUUUCCAUUUGUAUUAGAAAAUCUGUCUGUUGAUCACAGGAACGUUUUGGGUCCUCUUUAUUUUGAACCCUCCAUUCAUGCGAAUGUCAAAAGGUGCAGCAUAAGAGCUAUAAAAAGCACAGAAAAGAGGCAAAUGUUUCUAUUUUGAGUCCUCCCAUAGAUCAUUUUGAUAUUUUGUAACACACAGAUGAUCCGUUUUGUUUUUUGUUUUUUAAUAUCUUUUGGGUGAGGGCUGUUUGAAUUUGGUUGGCAUUACUCAUAAUUGUGUCAUACCUGCCAUUGAUAUAGAUUACACAUUUUAUUUUUUAUUUUAUCCUAGUUUGAAACCUGUCCUACUGACUGAAUUUAGGGGAUAUGUAAGUAAUACAGAUAUAUGAGAAAUAUUAGAUUGAAAUGCAAACUUAUUUUCUAAAUAAUGGAGGUUCAACCUCUGGUCAAUCACUGUGCCAUCCCACAGCUGCCAAGCCCGGUCACUACUGCACUGUCUCCUCUCCUGUUGACAGGCUAUGAAAGAGUCAUGGAUAUUUCAGUUCUGAUAGACCUGGACACUCCUAUCGCCAACACUACAAAGAAACGCAACGGGGAGCGAUAGAGAGAGGCUGGUCUUCGGGGAAGGGCUACAUUUCUUGUAAAGAACAUCAGUAUUCAUUUGCCGUGGUCGAAAUGGCACACUAGCAUACUGCAUACUGAAUUUCUUUUGAAAAGUAGUGUGUUAGUGUGCCGUUUCACACGCGACCAUUGUCCUCUACACUCAGCAUCACCACUAUAACUCAUAUGUAACCUGUAUCAAAAUGUAUAGAUCGUGUAUCAUGUUAUUGAAUGUCUAAAAAGAUUAUACAAAAAGUUUAAAAAUACAGAAUAAAUGGCUUGAAAUUGUAUUAAAGUAUUCAUGAAUCAGAGAAAGCAAACGUCUAGAGAUAAAUGAACUAUUUUUUUCUGUUCUGUAAUUACUGUUGUGUUGAUGGAGAAACACUGGUCAGAGGAUCCGCUGUAAUAAAAGUACAUUUAGUACAUCA